GACAGCAGUAGCCGCGGUAAAACAGAGGGUGCGAGCGUUAAUCGGAUUUACUGGGCGUAAAGCGUGCGUAGGCGGCUUCUUAAGUCGGAUGUGAAAUCCCUGAGCUUAACUUAGGAAUUGCAUUCGAUACUGGGAAGCUAGAGUAUGGGAGAGGAUGGUAGAAUUCCAGGUGUAGCGGUGAAAUGCGUAGAGAUCUGGAGGAAUACCGAUGGCGAAGGCAGCCAUCUGGCCUAAUACUGACGCUGAGGUACGAAAGCAUGGGGAGCAAACAGGAUUAGAUACCCCCGUAGUCCCUGUCUCUUAUAC
rnacentral:rRNA from 1 species